AUGUAGGGUAAUCUGUCUUUAAGUAGGGAUAAAUUACUCUAAAAAGAAAAUGAAUCCUAGAUAGUUUUCCCUUCAAGUCAAGUGUCUUGU
rnacentral:pre_miRNA from 12 species